GUAGGGUGCAAGCGUUAAUCGGAAUGACUGGGCGUAAAGGGUGCGCAGGCGGUUAUGCAAGAUACAGGUGAAAUCCCCGGGCUCAACCUGGGAAUGGCCUGUGUGACUGCAUAGCUAGAGUGUGUUAGAGGGAGGUAGAAUUCCACGUGUAGCGGUGAAAUGCGUAGAGAUGUGGAGGAAUACCGAUGGCGAAGGCAGCCUCCUGGGAUAACACUGACGCUGAGGCACGAAAGCGUGGGGAGCAAACAGGAUUAGAUACCCUGGUAGUCCACGCCCUAAACGAUGUCUACUAGUUGUUGGGUUAUAAAGAACUCAGUAACGAAGCCAACGCGAGAAGUAGACCGCCUGGGGAGUACGGUCGCAAGAUUA
rnacentral:rRNA from 1 species